ACUGAAACAUCUAAGUACCUAGAGGAAGAGAAAGAAAAAUCGAUUUUCUUAGUAGCGGCGAGCGAAAAGGAAAGAGCCCAAACCAAAGAUUUAUCUUUGGGGUUGCGGACAGAACAUAAAGAGGAAAUUAUUAAUAAUCGAAGAUAACUGGAAAGUUAAACCGUAGAAGGUAAUAGUCCUGUAGAUGAAAUUGAUAAUGACUAAGGUUCUGAUCCA
rnacentral:rRNA from 1 species